rnacentral:rRNA from 1 species
GAUGAACGCUGGCGGCGUGCCUAAUACAUGCAAGUCGAGCGAACAGACGAGGAGCUUGCUCCUCUGACGUUAGCGGCGGACGGGUGAGUAACACGUGGAUAACCUACCUAUAAGACUGGGAUAACUUCGGGAAACCGGAGCUAAUACCGGAUAAUAUAUUGAACCGCAUGGUUCAAUAGUGAAAGACGGUUUUGCUGUCACUUAUAGAUGGAUCCGCGCCGCAUUAGCUAGUUGGUAAGGUAACGGCUUACCAAGGCAACGGUGCGUAGCCGACCUGAGAGGGUGAUCGGCCACACUGGAACUGAGACACGGUCCAGACUCCUACGGGAGGCAGCAGUAGGGAAUCUUCCGCAAUGGGCGAAAGCCUGACGGAGCAACGCCGCGUGAGUGAUGAAGGUCUUCGGAUCGUAAAACUCUGUUAUUAGGGAAGAACAAAUGUGUAAGUAACUAUGCACGUCUUGACGGUACCUAAUCAGAAAGCCACGGCUAACUACGUG